AGCAGCCGCGGUAAUUCCAGCUCCAAUAGCGUAUAUUAAAGUUGUUGCAGUUAAAAAGCUCGUAGUUGAACCUUAGGCCCGUGCGGGCGGUCCGUCCUCUGGGCGAGCACUGCCUCGUUGCGGGUCUCACCUUCUGGCGAGCGUGGAUGCCAUUUAUUUGGUGUCCGCGGGAACCAGGACCUUUACCUUGAAAAAAUUAGAGUGCUCAAAGCGGGCUCCGACGCUUGAAUACAUUAGCAUGGAAUAAUGAAAUAGGACGAUGGUUCUAUUUUGUUGGUUUCCGGGACCGUCGUAAUGAUUAAUAGGGAUAGUUGGGGGCAUUCGUAUUCAAUUGUCAGAGGUGAAAUUCUUGGAUUUAUUGAAGACGGACUACUGCGAAAGCAUUUGCCAAGGAUGUUUUCAUUAAUCAAGAACGAAAGUUGGGGGAUCGAAGACGAUCAGAUACCGUCGUAGUCUCAACCAUAAACUAUGCCGACUGGGAAUCGGGCGAUGUUAUUUUUUGUGUACUCGCUCGGCGCCC
rnacentral:rRNA from 1 species